rnacentral:rRNA from 1 species
UUGACGGAGAGUUUGAUCCUGGCUCAGGACGAACGCUGGCGGCGUGCUUAACACAUGCAAGUCGAACGCUGAAGCUUGGUGCUUGCACUGGGUGGAUGAGUGGCGAACGGGUGAGUAAUACGUGAGUAACCUGCCCUUGACUCUGGGAUAAGCCUGGGAAACUGGGUCUAAUACUGGAUACGACAUGUCACCGCAUGGUGGUGUGUGGAAAGGGUUUUACUGGUUUUGGAUGGGCUCACGGCCUAUCAGCUUGUUGGUGGGGUAAUGGCUCACCAAGGCGACGACGGGUAGCCGGCCUGAGAGGGUGACCGGCCACACUGGGACUGAGACACGGCCCAGACUCCUACGGGAGGCAGCAGUGGGGAAUAUUGCACAAUGGGCGGAAGCCUGAUGCAGCGACGCCGCGUGAGGGAUGACGGCCUUCGGGUUGUAAACCUCUUUCAGCACGGAAGAAGCGAAAGUGACGGUACGUGCAGAAGAAGCGCCGGCUAACUACGUGCCAGCAGCCGC